rnacentral:lncRNA from 1 species
UCUAAGAGAUCGAGCUCCGAUGAUGUCAGGGCCGCGAAGGGGAAUGUUGUGGUGGGCCCGGUGACGAUUCUCAGGCGAGGGGAGUCGCUUGACUCGAAAUUAAAGAGCGAGGCUCUGAAGAAGAACGGCGAGGAGGAAAUGAUAGUUUCUGGAACCGAGAGGUUGGGCCCGGACCCGGAGAUGGUGCCGAAGCAGAUCCGCAUCAAGGAUCUGAAGCCGUUUGCUUUUUCGGUGGCCGCUAAGCCCGACAUGUACGCUGGAUCUGCGUUUGCGCUCUCGCCGUCGCCGAG